AUUGAACGCUGGCGGCAUGCCUUACACAUGCAAGUCGAACGGCAGCACGGGAGCAAUCCUGGUGGCGAGUGGCGAACGGGUGAGUAAUAUAUCGGAACGUGCCCAGUCGUGGGGGGAUAACGUAGCGAAAGCUACGCUAAUACCGCAUACGAUCUAUGGAUGAAAGCGGGGGAUCGCAAGACCUCGCGCGAUUGGAGCGGCCGAUAUCAGAUUAGGUAGUUGGUGAGGUAAAGGCUCACCAAGCCGACGAUCUGUAGCUGGUCUGAGAGGACGACCAGCCACACUGGGACUGAGACACGGCCCAGACUCCUACGGGAGGCAGCAGUGGGGAAUUUUGGACAAUGGGCGCAAGCCUGAUCCAGCAAUGCCGCGUGCAGGAUGAAGGCCUUCGGGUUGUAAACUGCUUUGUACGGAACGAAACGGUGAGCUCUAAUACAGUUUGCUAAUGACGGUACCGUAAGAAUAAGCACCGGCUAACUACGUG
rnacentral:rRNA from 1 species